GUUGCCUCUAGAAUAACCAGACGUCGAAGAAAGGAAACUUCAAAUACGACGCCGUUUGGUUCAGACAGGGGCACACAGCAAGUAAACCGAAGCAGUUUGAGGGAAAGGGACGCUUUUCAUGUAGCUCUUCCUGUUCCUUUCCUAGAUAGCUUUGGAUAUUU